UACGUAGGUGACGAGCGUUAUCCGGAAUUAUUGGGCGUAAAGCGCACGCAAGCGGUCGAACAAGUCUGACGUGAAAUCUCUUGGCUUAACUGGGGGCGGUCGUUGGAAACUGUUUGGCUUGAGGCGAUGAGAGGGGUGCAGAAUUCCCGGUGUAGUGGUGGAAUGCGUAGAUAUCGAGAGGAACACCAGUGGCGAAGGCGGCUCACUGGCCCGAUACUGACGCUGAGGUGCGAAAGCGUGGGGAGCAAACAGG
rnacentral:rRNA from 1 species